CUUAAUCUCCUGGCUGGAUAGCAGAGACUUGCAUAGUGUCCCAUGCAAUAGUCAUAAUAGCUAGCAGUUAUUCUGAACCUCCCCCAGAUAUCAGAGACUCCAAGGAAAAGUCUACAAAUGCAUUUCCCUUCAAGCUCUCUAUUGACACGAAUUGCUAAAACAUUCCUUUGCAAGAUACAAGAACUAUAUACAUUAACCACUCUGUUUUUCUUAGACUUGUGGUUAUACAAGGGUAUGUAAAACAGAAGGUCACAUUCAUCAUACCACGCGGCCCUAGCAUUGUUCCAUACUGACACGAAUCAGAUGAACAUAUCUCACAGUGCCCAAGCAGCAGAGGAUGCUCCAGUUCAACACCACCAGCUUUCUGAGUUUCUCUGCAUGAAUUGUGCUGCCUAUGAGAAAAAGGCACAGGUGCUCUGCAGCUUUGGCCAAGGAAGGCAAUGUUGGGCAGUUGUCACCGUAACUACCCAGCUGCUGAAACCCAGCUGCAGCAGGCAGACAGAUAUCACACUCGUUACACUCUUCCAAGACAGAAAGGCUCAGUCAAUACUACAAAGGAUCUGAGCAGCAAUUUCCAAGCAGAAAGUCUCUGCUCCCCCGUGACACAAAGCACUAGGUCAUGCCUUUUGGUCCUAAAGCCAGCAGACCUGUAACAUGAAAUUGCUCACUGUUUUCUGCCUCUGUAGGAGCUUUUCUUCUGCCAAGAGGGCUUAGCAAAACAUCCUGCUUUCAAAAUGAACUAAGUAGUAAAGAGAGGGCAUGAGAGGGGACAGCAGCAGGUUCUUGGAAGUCAGGAUGGUUUUGAAGGGCUUUCUGCAGGAGUUCAGGGGUUGAGUCAGGUUGAUGCAUCUGCCUCUUUGUACUCAGUUCUUCUCUCCUCUGAAGGCAGCUACAGGGAGCUAAGAGAGAGGUCCAGCUGCCUGGCUUUCUUCUGUAAAGCAGCUCAAGCUCAGCACAGGAACAGAAACAUGAAUGUCUUCUUUCUCUGGGAAACCUGCAGGGUUUCGGGAUCCAUCCUCAGUGCCUCAGUGCACCUGACAGGUGUGGGACAGCAGGAGCUGCCUUCCUCCCGAGAGAGUCUGGGGCCCUCCUAAGGCUCUUGUGACAGACAGAGCUCAUCUCCUGGAAAAAAAAAGUUGGAAGUAGUGGUAGCAUCCAUUUCCACAAGUUCAAAAUGCUGUUUCUCUUGUAAACAUCCUUGGGAGACUCAGCUCAGGCAGAGAAGCUGCAUGAACGGCUCAAGACACCAAAGGUCUUUCUGUCCCCAUAUGAGGGAACAAACCUCAUUACCACUCUGAUCACCCAAAGCCUUGCCUGUUGUUCUGUCAGGUGGAGGACCCACUCGUCUGACUCCUCAACA